GACGAACGCUGGCGGCGUGCUUAACACAUGCAAGUCGAACGGAAAGGCCUUUUCGGAGGUACUCGAGUGGCGAACGGGUGAGUAACACGUGGGUGAUCUGCCCUUCACUCUGGGAUAAGCCUGGGAAACUGGGUCUAAUACCGGAUAGGACCGCACUUUAGUGUGUGUGGUGGAAAGUUUUUUCGGUGUAGGAUGAGCCCGCGGCCUAUCAGCUUGUUGGUGGGGUAAUGGCCUACCAAGGCGGCGACGGGUAGCCGGACUGAGAGGUUGGUCGGCCACAUUGGGACUGAGAUACGGCCCAGACUCCUAAGGGAGGCAGAAGUGGGGAAUAUUGCACAAUCGGCGCAAGCCUGAUGCAGCGACGCCGCGUGGGGGAUGACGGCCUUCGGGUUGUAAACUACUUUCGCCAGGGACGAAGCGUUUUGUGACGGUACCUGGAGAAGAAGCACCGGCUAACUACGUG
rnacentral:rRNA from 1 species